UCCCUGGUGGCUUGGAUGGUAAAGCGUCUGCCUACAAUGCGGGAGACUCAGGUUCAAUCCCUGGAUUGGGAA
rnacentral:tRNA from 1 species